CUGAGCCCUCUUGGGACUCAGUCAGUCAGGGAGUCUCCAGUCCCUAGGGAGGCGCUUGCCCAUCACCCAGCAGCAGCAGCAGUCACCCCGACCCCCGCCCCGGUGGGUCUGUUGCAGUCACCUGUUAAAACAGAACUCAGACGCUCUUCAGGGACGAACGAAACGUCAAAAACUAAGAGUUGGCCCUUGGCCCACCCGUUAAUGACUCAGUGAUAGCCAUGACAGGCUGUAAACCCUGACACACUGCGGACUGCCAAGGACUUUGGACUCUUCCCGUUCUGUAUGCAGGCCACAGAGGCUCCUUACCCAUGCCAUGCUCUCAGAUUUCCAGAACUGGGAAUCAAAGAAGCUCUCUUCCCAGUCUCAGACAUUCUGACACAGCAACAGAAAACAGACUAAGGGAGUGUCACGAUAAGCUUGAUUGAGACUCAUAAAGAAUGGUGAAUGAGGCGUCAUCAACUCCUAUAACUGCACACAGUGUUGAUCCACUAGGGACUCCUAGCACAGUAGUAAAGUCUCAAAAUGGACCCAAGGCUAGGCUGGUGACUGCUUCCCCCUUCUUUAGGGAAGUCUCCUGGGGUGACCUUGCCCCCACACCCCACAUUCCUUAUAGUCACACCAACCUGAUGGACUGUUACGGGUGUUUGAGGCUAACACGAGGCAAUCUGAUUGACCCUUCAAUCAUAUAAAGGCUGUUCCACUACACAAUAAAG